AAGUCGUAACAAGGUCUCCGUAGGUGAACCUGCGGAGGGAUCAUUACUGAGCGAGGGCCUCCGGGUCCGACCUCCAACCCCCUGUCAUCCGACCACUUGCCUUGGGGGCGACCCGGCCUUCGGGCGUCGGGGCCCCCAAUGGACCCGCCAACCCUGCAUCUGUGCGUCCGAGUCAACGAUUGAAUCAAUCAAAACUUUCAACAACGGAUCUCUUGGUUCUG
rnacentral:misc_RNA from 1 species